AAAUAUGUUAGGAACAAUGUAUGACUUCUAAUUAUAUCUUGAGCCGUUCAACUCGGCUCAUAUUUU
rnacentral:tRNA from 1 species